UUUCUGGUUGAUCCCGCCGGACCUGACUGCUAUCGGAUUGGUACUAAGCCAUGCGAGUCGUUGUAGCAAUACAAGGCGGACUGCUCAGUAACACGUAGUUAACUUAACCUAUGGAUGGGGAUAACCUCGGGAAACUGAGAAUAAUACCCAAUGGACCACAGUGCCUGGAAUGGCCUGUGGUUGAAAUGAUUUAUCGCCGUAGGAUAGGACUGCGGCCUAUCAGCUUGUUGGUGAGGUAAUGGCCCACCAAGGCUAUAACAGGUACGGGCUCUGAGAGGAGGGGCCCGGAGAUGGGUACUGAGACACGGACCCAGGCCCUAUGGGGCGCAGCAGGCGAGAAACCUUUGCAAUGUGCGAAAGCACGACAAGGUUAAUCCGAGUGUCUCCUGCUAAAGGAGUCUUUUGUCAGUUGUAGAAUCACUGGUGAAUAAGGGGUGGGCAAGUUCUGGUGUCAGCCGCCGCGGUAAAACCAGCACCUCGAGUGGUCAGGAGGUUUAUUGGGCCUAAAGCAUCCGUAGCCGGUUGCAUAAGUUUUCGGUUAAAUCUAUGCGCUUAACGUAUAGGCCGCCGAAAAUACUGUGCAGCUAGGGAGUGGGAGAGGUACACGGUACUCGAUAGGAACGGGUAAAAUCCUUUGAUCUAUUGUUGA
rnacentral:rRNA from 1 species